CCGGUUAUACUUGACCUGAAGCUACUGUUUGGCUGAUUUCUCUUGCAUUUGAAAUUUAGCUUCUCUGUUGACUGGACUGACACUGGGCUGUUGAACGCUGUUACUUCCACUUGGAGUUGGUGCUGAAGCUGCUGCAAGGGCGUGACUGGUUGAAUUGGGCUAGAAGCAAUUAGGCCUGCUACUGAUUUAAUUGGGCCGC
rnacentral:lncRNA from 1 species